AUAUUUUUUUAUUUUAUUUAUUAUAAGACAGUAUCUCACUAUGUGGCUUUAACUCUCAUGGAAUUCACUCUGUAGCUCAGCCUGGCCUUGAACUCAUAAGAUCUGCGGGACUCUGAAUCCUGAGUGCUGGGAUUAAAGGAAAGGGGAGGUACGUGCCAAGGCACAUGCCGAAGUCAGAGGACAACUGUGAGAGUUGGCCGUUCACCUAGUAGUCUCCAGGAUCGAUCUUAGGUCUUCACGCUUGGCCGCAAGCGCCUUCACACACUGAGCCAUCUAGGUGGCCACGGUGAUAGUUUUGAAAAUAAUAUUAAGUAAAGUUUCAGUGCAUUUUAAAAUUAUUUUAAAAUUAAAAAUAAACAUUUUAAAUGA